UGCAGUUUUUGAUGACAGCAA
rnacentral:piRNA from 1 species